UACGUAGGGUGCGAGCGUUAAUCGGAAUUACUGGGCGUAAAGCGUGCGCAGGCGGUGAUGUAAGACAGGUGUGAAAUCCCCGGGCUUAACCUGGGAACUGCAUUUGUGACUGCAUCGCUGGAGUGCGGCAGAGGGGGAUGGAAUUCCGCGUGUAGCAGUGAAAUGCGUAGAUAUGAGGAGGAACACCGAUGGCGAAGGCAAUCCCCUGGGCCUGCACUGACGCUCAUGCACGAAAGCGUGGGGAGCAAACAGG
rnacentral:rRNA from 1 species